CAAGACAAAGGCAACAAGGAGUCAGGACCUGGUAUGCAUGCUGAGAUUUGAAGUCUAUCUUUUUUUUCUUUUCUUUUUUUUAGUAAAUGCUAUUCUGCUUCAGGGACACUUCACCAGUUAGUGUGAUGGAGGAACUCUCUAUUAAUUUAACUCUGUCACUUUGUCACACCUGGAAGCCCAUUUACACCAGAAAAAAUAAUACUGUGGUCAGGUUGGAAUCAUUCAAAUAAUAUAUUUCAUAAUGAAAAUAAGUGCACCAAACCAUUUUCCUACCAGGAGCAGAAGCUGCAGCGCCUCUGUGUGGCUGAACAGUGUCAUUGUAUGACAGCUGCGUGUGUUGCCUACAGAGCAAAGGUCGAUGCGACUUUGACAGUAGCCAAACGAAUUGAGGAAACCUGCCAGCCUCACAUCAAAUAUGCCUAUAGAGUUACUGUGACAUCUUCAGCAGCAGAAGGAGACUUUAUGACCUACACAGCCACCGUAGAUGAAGUUCUGAAAAACACCAUUAUGCAUGGUUAUUUUGGCUUCAUUGAAUCCAGGAUGGCCGCAAAACAAACCAGUUUCUGUUCAUGCUCUAAUCCCUCCUUAUGACAUCUCUACUUGAUCAACAUAAAUUAUGUUUAAGUACAGAGGUGUGUCUUUGAGAAAAAACUGGUUGUUGUUUUUAACUCUGCCUGAAACAAAAGCCUUAUACC